UGGGGGAUCGUCCAAUGGCAGGACUGCGGAUUCUGAUUCCGCCUAUGAGGGUUCGAAUCCUUCUCCCCCAGCCA
rnacentral:tRNA from 1 species